rnacentral:tRNA from 1 species
CAUCAUAUAGUCAAAUGGUUAAGACAGUUCCCUGCAACGGAGUUAAUAUAGGUUCAAAUCCUAUUGUGAUAA